rnacentral:rRNA from 1 species
UACGUAGGGGGCUAGCGUUGUCCGGAAUCAUUGGGCGUAAAGAGUGCGUAGGCGGUUCUUUGUGUCCGCUGUGAAAGCCCCGGGCUUAACCUGGGAAUGGCAGUGGAAACUAGAGAACUUGAAUCUGGCAGAGGGGAGUGGAAUGCCACGUGUAGCAGUGAAAUGCGUAGAUAUGUGGCGGAACACCGAUGGCGAAGGCAGCCCCCUGGGCUGAGAUUGACGCUCAGGCACGAAAGCGUGGGGAGCAAACAGG